AUGUAAUCCAUAGACUUCCAGUUCCUGUGAAAGAGAGAUGAUGCUUUUACUUCACACAACCAUCUAAGAAUCUGCAGAUAGUCCCCACAGUCUCCUGCUCACAUGAAUUGGAACACUUCCCGUUUUGUGAAGAAGGAAACUAAGGCCCAGCGGCUGUGGCGGCAACUGCCCCAGCUCCUCAGAUUUACCUCCGGGAAGCUGCUCAAGGGCGGUCAGAAUCCGGAGGAAGCACAGAGAAGGAGAUAUGGAACACAGGUGUCUGGCUUCUUCCUAG